ensembl:lncRNA
CAGCCCCAAGGCUCACCGCCCACAGGAGUGCCUGCUUCCUCGUAGGGACAUAGAAGCGCCUUUUUCAUAUGUUGGUUGGUUUAUGGUUUGUUCAUUUCCUGUUGUAAGAGGGAAGGAUUCAUAAACGACAACCAGCCCCUGAACUCUGCCUUCUGAAUCCCAAUUCCCAAGCCAACUUGGAGAACGUCCAGCGUCUCUUCUAAUCAAGAACUAUGUGACAUCUCCUAUUUUGAAGAAACUUUGUUAAGUUGAUCAGAUGAUUUACAUGUGAUCACAGAUGUUACAAAAUCUAAAUGCCCCGCCUGGGUCGCCCAGGUUCUUGAAGGACUUCUGAAAAAGCCCCGUGCUCCUUUCCCCCGUGAUCCUGCUCACAUCCUCCCUCCCCACCAGCCCAGUGAGAAAACUCCAUCCCCCCUUCAACUUGACCGACACUUCAGGGGGCUUGGAGAGGUGCCACAGCCGGGAGAGCUCUCUGCACACUUCACAUUAUCAUCAGCGCUCUGCUCACAAGAUUCCCGCCUCACAAGGCUAAAUGUCUCUUGACUCCUAUUGAACCCUGGUGAUGGCAUUUCUGGUCAACACCCAGAGGAGAGAGAGGGACAUAAACUAUCCAGCCUUCGGAGCCAAGGAAAGUGUGAAGAGAUCAGUACCCAGUUUUGGGAAAUGACACCAACAUGGUCCCCAAACCUAGUCUAGCUGGAGAAAAACAAAGAACAAAAAACCAAUGAGAACUGUGAGGAAGUAUGGGAAGGGUUUCGAGUAGAGGAGUUGUCAGACCCUGUGAGCAAGCUCCCUCUGGCUGCUGCUGGGCAUGGAUUGUGCGAACAGCGGACGAGUGCCUGCUACAAUAACCCAGAGGAGAGACGAGAGGGCCUUGGACCUGAAAGAAGAGCGGAGUCCAUGUCUGGACAGCACGGAGAGCAGAGGCUGCCAAAGAGACAGCCAACAUCUACAUCACAAAAGAGCCAUGGCCAACGGAGAAAGCGGAAAGAAUGCACACUGCCCUGUACUACGUGGAGAAGGAGCCAGCAAGCAGUAUGAGUGCAACAAGUUUAGACCUAUAAAGCAAAUGUGCAAACUGAAACUCAAGGUGUAGUCUGAAGGAGAGACGAAGAGGAGGUAUGCAGGGAAGGAGGGAGACCGGACAUCCAGGCCCUCAGCCGGCAUUUGCCCCAGAAGGAGGGGAAAACUCAUUACCACUCGACAGCUGCUCCAUCGUCUGUAAAAAGUUAAGGGUUCAAACCUCUUGCCAGUGACCAGAUGUCCCCGGCUUCACGUGUUACGGAGUGGUCAGUAAUUGACUCGCAAGUGUGACGACGACAGUUCAUGUGAGAGAAGCUGCAGGAGGCCCAACCACAGGAGAUUGCCUUAUUGAGAAGAGAGAUCAUACAAACACGUGAAAAGAACCCAAGUCUUCAAACACCAAAAGAAAAAAGUGUUCUGGAAAGAAUUCACAACAUCCUCCCCAAACAUGUCUCAAGCAUACCAGUUUUAUUUCAGCCUGUGUUCAGUUUAUUUUUUUUUAAUUUACUGCAUCCUAUUCUGAAAAUUUAUGUAUUCUUUGGCUGUGCGAACACUCAUAAUUGAGCAUACAAGUUCAUUCCAAAAUUUGGCUCCUUUUUGUUCCUAGGAAAAAGAUUUUUUAGAAAGCAAACCACUAUAAUUUAAUAAAAUGGGUCAACGCUUGGCAGGUUGGCAAAGUCUUUAGAAUUCUUGCUAUAGACAGUAAGGCACAAGUAGCCUGUUUCAUUAUUAUAAAAAAAUAAUGAAUAACUUAGCUGCCUAUAAUUCAUAAAAUAUACCACACUAGAGCAAGUUUUAAUUACACUUGCCAUGUACAGUAUACAUUGCCUUUUAAUGGUUUUUUGAGUAAGUACUCAACUUUAAG